rnacentral:tRNA from 1 species
ACUUCCCACUCAGCCAUCUCUCC